GACGAACCGUGCGAACGUUGUUCGGAAUCACUGGGCUUAAAGGGCGCGUAGGCGGGUCGGAAAGUCCGCGGUGAAAUCCCCCCGCUCAACGGGGGAACGGCCGCGGAUACUGCCGGCCUCGAGGGGGGUAGGGGCGAGCGGAACGCUGGGUGGAGCGGUGAAAUGCGUUGAUAUCCAGCGGAACUCCGGUGGCGAAGGCGGCUCGCUGGACCUUCACUGACGCUGAGGCGCGAAAGCCAGGGGAGCGAACGGG
rnacentral:rRNA from 1 species